rnacentral:rRNA from 1 species
GGAUUACCUCAGUAACGGCGAGUGAAGCGGUAACAGCUCAAAUUUGAAAGCUAGCUCUUUUAGGGUUCGCAUUGUAAUUUGUAGAAGAUGCUUCGGGUGUGGCCCCGGUCUAAGUUCCUUGGAACAGGACGUCAUAGAGGGUGAGAAUCCCGUAUGUGACUGGGUGCUUUCGCUCAUGUGAAGCUCUUUCGACGAGUCGAGUUGUUUGGGAAUGCAGCUCAAAAUGGGUGGUAAAUUUCAUCUAAAGCUAAAUAUUGGCCAGAGACCGAUAGCGCACAAGUAGAGUGAUCGAAAGAUGAAAAGCACUUUGGAAAGAGAGUUAAACAGUACGUGAAAUUGUUGAAAGGGAAGCGCUUGCAACCAGACUUGCGCGCUGAUGAUCAUCCGGGCUUCUGCCCGGUGCACUCGUCUGCGCUCAGGCCAGCAUCGGUUUCGGUGGUGGGAUAAAGGCCUUGGGAAUGUAGCUCCUCUCGGGGAGUGUUAUAGCCCUCGGUGCAAUGCCGCCUACCGGGACCGAGGACCGCGCUUCGGCUAGGAUGCUGGCGUAAUGGUUGUAAGCGACCCGUCUUGAAACACGGACCAAGGAGUCUAACAUCUAUGCGAGUGUUUGGGUGUCAAACCCAUACGCGUAAUGAAAGUGAACGGAGGUGAGAACCCUUAAGGGUGCAUCAUCGACCGAUCCUGAUGUCUUCGGAUGGAUUUGAGUAAGAGCAUAGCUGUUGGGACCCGAAAGAUGGUGAACUAUGCGUGAAUAGGGUGAAGCCAGAGGAAACUCUGGUGGAGGCUCGCAGCGGUUCUGACGUGCAAAUCGAUCGUCAAAUUUGCGUAUAGGGGCGAAAGACUAAUCGAACCAUCUAGUA